rfam:Stegodyphus mimosarum contig82273, whole genome shotgun sequence.
GCCCUCGUGGUGUAGUGGUCAGCACGCUCGGCGAGUAUUCGAGAGGUCCUUGGUUCGAGUCCCGGCGAGGGCA